rnacentral:rRNA from 1 species
GGAGCCUGAGAAACGGCUACCACUUCCAAGGAAGGCAGCAGGCACGCAAAUUACCCAAUCCCGGCACGGGGAGGUAGUGACGAAAAAUACGGAUACGGGACUCACUAGAGGCUCCGUAAUUCGAAUGAGUACAAUUUAAAUCCUUUAACGAGGAUCAACUGGAGGGCAAGUCUGGUGCCAGCAGCCGCGGUAACUCCAGCUCCAGAAGCGUAUAUUAAAGUUGUUGCAGUUAAAAAGCUCGUAGUUGGAUCUGGGUCGCAUGGCUACAUGCCGUCGCUCGUGGGUCUGGCCUGGUUACUGCCGGGUUGAGCUUGCGAGUCGGUCUCGUGGUUGUGCUUCCUUUCUGCUGUGUCUGUUUACAGGUGUCAGCGUGACUGGUGGGCUUGCCUGCUAGUCUGUUGGCAUGCUUCUUGGUGCCUUUAAUCGGGUGUCGGAGGCGGACAGCACGUUUACUUUGAACAAAUUUGAGUGCUCAAAGCAGGCCUUUGUGCCUGAAAAUUCUUGCAUGGAAUAAUGGAAUAGGACUUCGGUUCUAUUUUGUUGGUUUUCGGAUCCGAAGUAAUGGUUAAGAGGGACAGACGGGGGC